AAAACCAGCCCAGCACCGACCCUGCAGCUGGGAGAGGAGCCCCAGCCCCAGAAGUCCCAGGUGUUCCAAUCCUGUGAUCAGGACAGAACACAGAAAUCUCACCAUGGAGUUUGUGCUUGGCUGGGUUUUCCUGGUUGCUCUUUUAAAAGGUGUCCAGUGUGAGGUGCAGCUGCUGGAGUCUGGGGGAGACCUGGUGAAGCCUGGGGGGUCCCUGAGACUCACCUGUGUAGCCUCUGGAUUCACCUUCAGUAGCUAUGACAUGAACUGGGUCCGCCAGGCUCCAGGGAAGGGGCUGCAGUGGGUCGCAUGUAUUAGUAGUAGUGGAGGUAGCACAUACUACGCAAACUCCGUGAGGGGCCAAUUCACCAUCUCCAGAGACAACGCCAAGAACACGCUGUAUCUGCAGAUGAACAACCUGAAGACUGAGGACACGGCCACAUAUUACUGUGCAAGAGACACAGUGAGGGAUAGGAAGACUAAAAGGAACAAAGACUAG